CUCGGUAUAACAGCCACCGUUUAUUAGAUCUUAGUUAUCUACUUGGAUAACUGUGGCAMUUCUAGAGCUAAUACAUGCACGAAAGCUCGGACCUUAGGGAAAGAGCGCAUUUAUUAGACCAAAACCAAUCGGGCUUCGGCUUGUGUUUUGGUGACUCUGAAUAACUAAGUUGAUUGCACGGUCUUAGUACCGGCGACGUAUCUUUCAAAUGUCUGCCUUAUCAACUUUCGAUGGUAGGUUAUACGCCUACCAUGGUUAUAACGGGUAACGGAGAAUAAGGGUUCGACUCCGGAGAGGGAGCCUGAGAAAUGGCUACCACAUCCAAGGAAGGCAGCAGGCGCGCAAAUUACCCAAUCCCAGAAUGGGGAGGUAGUGACGAAAAAUAACGAGACAGUCCACUAUGUGGCCUGUCAUCGGAAUGGGUACGAUUUAAAAACUCUAACGAGGAUCUAUUAGAGGGCAAGUCUGGUGCCAGCAGCCGCGGUAAUUCCAGCUCUAAUAGCGUAUAUUAAAGUUGUUGUGGUUAAAACGCCCGUAGUUGGAUCUUCGGUCUUGAAGCUCGGUAGCUCGUAAGGGUUUAACUGAGUCUUCUGGCCUAAAUUUUAGUAUUCCGCUGAUGCUCUUUACUGAGUGUCUUUGGUUGCUAGAACGUUUACUUUGAAAAAAUUAGAGUGCUAAAAGCAGGCUUUWCGCUUGAAUAAAGUGCAUGGAAUAAUGGAAUAGGACUUUAGUUUUAUUUUGUUGGUUUUCGAAAUUAAAGUAAUGAUUAAGAGGAACAGACGGGGGCAUUCGUAUUGUUGCGU
rnacentral:rRNA from 1 species